ACUAGCAGUAAGAGUUUGAUCCUGGCUACAGAACGAACGCUGGCGGCAGGCCUAACACAUGCAAGUCGAGCGCUGUAGCAAUACAGAGCGGCGCACGGGAGAGUAAUACGUGGGAAUCUACCUUUUGGUUCGGAAUAACGUCGGGAAACUGACGCUAAUACCGGAUAAGCCCUUCGGGGGAAAGAUUUAUCGCCGAUAGAUGGGCCCACGUUGGAUUAGCUAGUUGGUGAGGUAACGGCUCACCAAGGCAACGAUCCAUAGCUGGUCUGAGAGGAUGAUCAGCCUCACUGGGACUGAGACACGGCCCAGACUCCUACGGGAGGCAGCAGUGGGGAAUAUUGGACAAUGGGGGCAACCCUGAUCCAGCCAUGCCGCGUGAAUGAUGAAGGCCUUCGGGUUGUAAAGUUCUUUUGGCGGGGACGAUGAUGACGGUACCCGCAGAAUAAGCUCCGGCUAACUUCGUGCCAGCAGCCGCGGUAAUAC
rnacentral:rRNA from 1 species